rnacentral:misc_RNA from 1 species
AAAGUCGUAACAAGGUUUCCAUAGGUGAACCUGCGGAAGGAUCAUUAUCGAAUCCCAAAGGGAUGUUGCUGGCCUUUACAAGCCAUGCACUCCCGCCUUUACAUCCACCUGUUCACUUGCUGUAGACUAGGAUUAAUUAGUCUAUGUUUUCAUAUACUCUUUUAAAGUAAAUGAAUGUAUUUUAGGCUUCGGCCAAAAAACAAUACAACUUUCAACAAUGGAUCUCUUGGUUCUC